rnacentral:rRNA from 1 species
AUGAACGCUGGCGGCAUGCCUAACACAUGCAAGUCGAACGAAGGCUUCGGCCUUAGUGGCGCACGGGUGCGUAACGCGUGGGAAUCUGCCCCUUGGUUCGGAAUAACAGUUAGAAAUGACUGCUAAUACCGGAUGAUGACGUAAGUCCAAAGAUUUAUCGCCGAGGGAUGAGCCCGCGUAGGAUUAGCUAGUUGGUGUGGUAAGAGCGCACCAAGGCGACGAUCCUUAGCUGGUCUGAGAGGAUGAUCAGCCACACUGGGACUGAGACACGGCUCAGACUCCUACGGGAGGCAGCAGUGGGGAAUAUUGGACAAUGGGCGAAAGCCUGAUCCAGCAAUGCCGCGUGAGUGAUGAAGGCCUUAGGGUUGUAAAGCUCUUUUACCCGGGAUGAUAAUGACAGUACCGGGAGAAUAAGCUCCGGCUAACUCCGUG